UGAGGAAUAUUGGUCAAUGGGCGAGAGCCUGAACCAGCCAAGUAGCGUGCAGGAUGACGGCCCUAUGGGUUGUAAACUGCUUUUAUAUGGGAAUAAAGUGAGGGACGUGUCCCUUAUUGCAUGUACCAUACGAAUAAGGACCGGCUAAUUCCGUGCCAGCAGCCGCGGUAAUACGGAAGGUCCGGGCGUUAUCCGGAUUUAUUGGGUUUAAAGGGAGCGUAGGCCGCCAGAUAAGCGUGUUGUGAAAUGUACCGGCUCAACCGGUGAAUUGCAGCGCGAACUGUUUGGCUUGAGUGCACGGUAAGCAGGCGGAAUUCAUGGUGUAGCGGUGAAAUGCUUAGAUAUCAUGAAGAACUCCGAUUGCGAAGGCAGCUUGCUGCAGUGCGACUGACGCUGAUGCUCGAAGGUGCGGGUAUCAAACAGG
rnacentral:rRNA from 1 species